AGCAGCCGCGGUAAUUCCAGCUCCAAUAGCGUAUAUUAAAGUUGUUGCAGUUAAAAAGCUCGUAGUUGAAUUUCGGGAUCAAUAUGUUGGUCGUGCCUUGGUACGUACUGGCAUUAUCGAUUCCUAUCUUCUGAAGAACCUCGAUGUCAUUAAUUUGGUGUCUUGGGGAAUCGGGACUGUUACUUUGAAAAAUUAGAGUGUUUAAAGCAGGCUCGCGCUUGAAUACAUUAGCAUGGAAUAAUGAAAUAGGACGUUUGAUUCUAUUUUGUUGGUUUCUAGGAUCGACGUAAUGAUUAAUAGGGAUAGUUGGGGGCAUUAGUAUUCAAUUGUCAGAGGUGAAAUUCUUGGAUUUAUUGAAGACUAACUACUGCGAAAGCAUUUGCCAAGGAUGUUUUCAUUAAUCAAGAACGAAAGUUAGGGGAUCGAAGACGAUCAGAUACCGUCGUAGUCUUAACCAUAAACUAUGCCGACUAGGGAUCGGAUGAUGUUAAUUUUUAAUGA
rnacentral:rRNA from 1 species